GGGGAAUUUUGGACAAUGGGCGAAAGCCUGAUCCAGCCAUGCCGCGUGAAUGAAGAAGGCCUUCGGGUUGUAAAGUUCUUUUAGUUGGAAAGAAAAGAUUAUGAUGAAUAAUCAUAAUUCAUGACGGUACCGACAGAAAAAGCACCGGCUAACUACGUGCCAGCAGCCGCGGUAAUACGUAGGGUGCAAGCGUUAAUCGGAAUUACUGGGCGUAAAGGGUGUGCAGGCGGCCUUGUAAGUCAGAUGUGAAAGCCCCGGGCUUAACCUGGGAAUUGCGUUUGAAACUACAAGGCUAGAGUGCAGCAGAGGGGAGUGGAAUUCCAUGUGUAGCAGUGAAAUGCGUAGAGAUAUGGAAGAACACCGAUGGCGAAGGCAGCUCCCUGGGCUGACACUGACGCUCAUACACGAAAGCGUGGGGAGCAAAC
rnacentral:rRNA from 1 species